GACGAACGCUGGCGGCGUGCUUAACACAUGCAAGUCGAACGGAAAGGCCCUGCUUUUGUGGGGUGCUCGAGUGGCGAACGGGUGAGUAACACGUGAGUAACCUGCCCUUGACUUUGGGAUAACUUCAGGAAACUGGGGCUAAUACCGGAUAGGAGCUCCUGCUGCAUGGUGGGGGUUGGAAAGUUUCGGCGGUUGGGGAUGGACUCGCGGCUUAUCAGCUUGUUGGUGGGGUAGUGGCUUACCAAGGCUUUGACGGGUAGCCGGACUGAGAGGGUGACCGGCCACAUUGGGACUGAGAUACGGCCCAGACUCCUACGGGAGGCAGCAGUGGGGAAUAGUGCACAAUGGGCGGAAGCCUGAUGCAGCAACGCCGCGUGCGGGAUGACGGCCUUCGGGUUGUAAACCGCUUUCGCCUGUGACGAAGCGUGAGUGACGGUAAUGGGUAAAGAAGCACCGGCUAACUACGUG
rnacentral:rRNA from 1 species